UUUUAUAUAAUUAAGUAAUAUAAUAUUUUAUUUAUAACCGUAAGUAAAAAGUCGUGGGUUCGAAUCCUAUUAUAGGAG
rfam:Colletotrichum orchidophilum strain IMI 309357 Scaffold_14.1, whole genome shotgun sequence.